AGUCUGUUUUUUGUUUUUUGCUGGAUGAAAGCGAGGCUCAUUACCAUAAUAAGUCUAGAUAACGAUUUAUAACAUAGACCCAGAGUCUAUGCCUAGUUGAAUGUACAGUUAUAAACUUAAAAUUUACACAUUUGCUUUUGCCUGAACGGUUACAUUAACUCCAGAUACGUUUUUGGGAUUUCAUUAAGAUCUACAGGUUUAUUGUUUUAUAAACUGACGUCUUCUCUUAAGGUUACUGUUUUAGCAGUUAGUUAAAGGUAAA